GUGCCAGUUUUGGCAACACAUGUAAUAAAAUCAGAAGCAUGCAGAGAAGAUUAGCUUGGCCCUGAACAAGGAUGACAUACAAAUUCAUAUGCAUUUCACAUUUUU
ensembl:snRNA U6 U6 spliceosomal RNA